GACGAACGCUGGCGGCGUGCUUAACACAUGCAAGUCGAACGGUGAACCUCUUCGGAGGGGAUCAGUGGCGAACGGGUGAGUAACACGUGGGCAACCUGCCCCCGGCUCUGGGAUAACUCCAAGAAAUUGGGGCUAAUACCGGAUGUUCACCGCUUCCCGCAUGGGUGGUGGUGGAAAGGGUUUCCGGCUGGGGAUGGGCCCGCGGCCUAUCAGCUUGUUGGUGGGGUAGUGGCCUACCAAGGCGACGACGGGUAGCCGGCCUGAGAGGGUGACCGGCCACACUGGGACUGAGACACGGCCCAGACCCCUCCGGGGGGAAGCGGGGGGGAAUUUUGCGCAAGGGGGGGAGGCCUGACGCAGGGCCGCCGCGUGGGGGAUGACGGCCUUCGGGUGGUAAACCUUUUUCAGCAGGGACGAAGCGCAAGUGACGGUACCGGCAGAAGAAGCCCCGGCCAACUACGU
rnacentral:rRNA from 1 species